rnacentral:rRNA from 1 species
ANACNUGCAGUCGAGCGGACUUGAUGAGAAGCUUGCUUCUCUGAUGGUUAGCGGCGGACGGGUGAGUAACACGUAGGCAACCUGCCCUCAAGUUUGGGACAACUACCGGAAACGGUAGCUAAUACCGAAUAGUUGUUUUCUUCGCCUGAAGAGAACUGGAAAGACGGAGCAAUCUGUCACUUGGGGAUGGGCCUGCGGCGCAUUAGCUAGUUGGUGAGGUAACGGCUCACCAAGGCGACGAUGCGUAGCCGACCUGAGAGGGUGAUCGGCCACACUGGGACUGAGACACGGCCCAGACUCCUACGGGAGGCAGCAGUAGGGAAUCUUCCGCAAUGGGCGAAAGCCUGACGGAGCAAUGCCGCGUGAGUGAUGAAGGUUUUCGGAUCGUAAAGCUCUGUUGCCAGGGAAGAACGCUUGGGAGAGUAACUGCUCUCAAGGUGACGGUACCUGAGAAGAAAGCCCCGGCUAACUACGUGCCAGCAGCCGCGGUAAUACGUAGGGGGCAAGCGUUGUCCGGAAUUAUUGGGCGUAAAGCGCGCGCAGGCGGUCAUUUAAGUCUGGUGUUUAAUCCCGGGGCUCAACCCCGGAUCGCACUGGAAACUGGGUGACUUGAGUGCAGAAGAGGAGAGUGGAAUUCCACGUGUAGCGGUGAAAUGCGUAGAUAUGUGGAGGAACACCAGUGGCGAAGGCGACUCUCUGGGCUGUAACUGACGCUGAGGCGCGAAAGCGUGGGGAGCAANCAGGAUUAGAUACCCUGGUAGUCCACGCCGUAANCGAUGAGUGCUAGGUGUUAGGGGUUUCGAUACCCUUGGUGCCGAAGUUAACACAUUAAGCACUCCGCCUGGGGAGUACGGUCGCAAGACUGAAACUCAANGGAAUUGACGGGGACCCGCACAAGCAGUGGAGUAUGUGGUUUAAUUCGAAGCAACGCGAAGAACCUUACCAGGUCUUGACAUCCCUCUGACNGGUACAGAGAUGUA